rfam:Amborella trichopoda AMTR_V1.0_contig_40770, whole genome shotgun sequence.
CUCCCACCCAUGUGUGUAGGACCCCAAAGGAUCACCAUUAUAGUUGGCACGGAUCUCUAGAAAAGUUAUCACAUGGGUGUGGGACUUGACUUUUCUAUAGAUCCAUGUCAAACUUUAAUGGUGAUCCUUUAGGGUCCUACACACAUGGGUGGGGG